CCGGAGCCGCGCGCGAUGAUUCAUUGCCCCAAUUAGGGGCUCUCUGCAGCGCGCCCGGCUCUAGCCGUCUGAAGGGUCUCCUGGGGGACCCGCCGAAACCCAUCAGCGGCUGGAGCUGGUCUUUAAGUAAAGGUCAAUCAGGACGCGGGAGGAGCCAGGGUUCCUGCAAAGGUUACACGAGAUGCCCCAGGGAGCAUUUAGCACAGUGCCGGGCACACAGUCCCAGGAUGACAGCUGCAGGUCUUCGGGGGUUCCAUCUGCUCACGUACGUCUCUGUCCCCGUGCUUACAACACUGCCUGCAUGUGGGAGACACGCAAUGAAUAUCUUUUCAUCAGGAACAGUUAGCUUCGAGACUAUGAUGUCCUCAGGCCCCUAAGCAAAGCCCUGCCAGGAAUGCAUGGUAAUGAGAAUGUCUGCAGCACGACUGUGACCUUGACAUCCACUAUCUUCAAGAAAUCUUCACAACAACCCCAUCGUUAAUCUCCCCAUGUUUACAGAGAAGGAAACCGAGAGGGGUUAAGGAAGCCGUCCAAGGUCAGCCACCAGCCCAGACUGGCGACUCCCGAGCCCAUGGGGCAGGUGAGCAGGCUGUGUGGUCAGCCAGCGCGGACUCCCCCCACGCAGCAUCACCGAGCCUCAAACGGAGAGGCCCACCCUCGACGAUCUGUGCAGAGCAAGGCUCUCUGCCCUACUCUCAGGCUGGAUUUUCACAGAGACGAGGCCAGGAAGGGAGAUUGUCCCUGUGGGUCUGUCCCGGAAGAGACCCUGGGCUCCAAGCACAGAGCAGGAUGUAGCCUGCCCCGGGGUCCUCCGGCCGAGCCAGGAAGAAGGCCUCAAGGCAGCCAGGCCGGCAGGGAUUUCCCAGAGGCUCUGACUUGGAGGGAAAAAGGAGGUAAGGAAAAUGCAGCCAAAACUAGGCCAGGGAAACCGGCUCAUGGCUGCCUGGGCCGGCCGCUGUCCCCUGGCAGCUGCAGUGACUCUCCCAGGGCUUCGGCCAUUGAUUGGCCUCUUGUCCUUAGCCCUCAGUGGCCAUGGGCGCACCUCGUUCUCAUUCUUGGAAUUCUCCUGAGACCUCACUUUUGGCUGGAUCUCAGCCUGGCUGACCCCUCCCCAAGGCCAUCAUGCUACUUCCUGCCUGGAUUGGGGAAGGAUCACCCUAGAGGCUUCCCCCUCCUCAUUCCCCCAUUCCCAAUUCCCAUCCCAACCCCUGAAAAAUGUUUACCCCGGUGUACUCGUGAGCAUGCUUCUGCCACAUCCAGUUCUGCAAAACUCUGUUUCAUGCAUGUCACUCUCCUGCUCUCAAACUAUCCGUGGCUCCCUAGUGCUCUCAGAGAGGCAGUUCGAAGACAGGCUAAGAGCAAGGAUGCUGGAGCCAGGACAUCUGGGUUUGAAUUCUGACUCAGCUACUUACACAUUGAGAGAUCCUGGGCAAGUCACUGACCUUGCCGUGCCUCUCUUGCUCCAUCUGUGAAAUGGAAUAAGCACUGGGGCCUCCCACACCAUUCUUGGCAUAGUAAAUGAACUGAUGGACAUAACAUGUUUAGCACAGGGCCUGCUGGUCAUUGUAAGGACUGUGAAUACUGAGGGCAGAGCCAGUCCAUCUCCAGGGUCUGGACCAGGGCACAGUAUCUGGGAUCCACUCCAGCCAAAACACACGGCCUCCACUGGCCGUCCCCAUCACUGUGAUGUCGCUCCCCCACCCCGAAGCCUUCCACCCCUGCAGUCAAAUUAUCUUACAAGCUCAGCUCAAAAGGCACCCCAUCCACCCGGCCCCAAGCAAUCAGGUCACCCGACUUGACCUUCUUCCAUGGGUGUCCACACCAGCGCUUCUCAGACAGGAAGUACACGUGAAGCCCCCUAAGCCCGCCUGGAAGAGGAGCUGAUCCCCAUCUGGGCUGAGCCCUGGACAGGCAGCUCUGGUCAGGAGGCCCCUGGCCUGCAGGCUUUGUGUCCGCCCCUCCCGGGAGCAGACUCCAGGCUGGUGUGGUGCCCGCUCAGGGCCAUUCACCAGAGUUAAACAUCUAGCCAGCAAGAGGGCGGGGGCCUCGGCUACGCUCCAGCUUCUGCCCUCCCCGGCCCUGCCCCAGUGGCUCUGUCCAUCCGUCCUGGGCAGUGCUCAGCAGCCUCACUUCCUCUCUCUGUGGCCCCCUCCCCUGCACAGGACCCAGGGCACCCCGUCGGCUCCUCCGUCCCCAUCUAAUGCCACCUCACAGUCACUUGUUCAUUCAUUCGACACGCAUUCAUUAAGCGCCCUCUGUGGCUUGCCCAGGUCUCUGAUCCCUCAGCUGUCAUGUAGCUGUUCUCGGGACAAGCUUUACUUUCUCGCCUUGUAAAGUGGUCUUGGGUGGGUCAUGUCACCUUCUUCCCCAGGCCCCGCUGGGAUGGCCCAUGGGACGUUGCCAUCACAGGUUGAGCACCUACCAUGUGCCGGGCACUGUGUCAUGCAGGUUACAAAUAUCCUCCCACAGAUGUCCCCGCAAGCCCUGGAAAGCCAGGGCCUCUUCUGCUCCCUGCCCCUCACUUGCAGAAAGUGAAGCUCAGAGAGGCAGAGUGACCUGCCCCGGGGCGCACAGCUGGUGAGAGGCCAAGCCAGGGCUUCUUGCUCCAAAGUCUGGGAUUCGCAGGGCUCCACAACCCCUCGCCUGUUGGUGUUGGCUGCGUGUAACAGCCACAUCCUACGAUGAGAUUUUCUGUGGCUUCUCAGUCCCCUCAAACCCCUGUAGAUGGCAGCUCGGUCCUGUCCCCGACCCUGACCUCGGGGUCCUGAAUCUCCAGCCCAGAAAUGUUGACCUUGACGUCAACCCUGCAGGCUCAAACAAUCCCCAAAGGUGCCCCUCGUCCUAACCCCUGCACCUGCAACUGUGUUAACUUGGGUGGCCAAGGGACUCUGCAGACAUGAUUCAGUGAAGGACCUGGAUGUGGGGGGCGGGUGUGUGUCCUGGAUUAGCCAGUGGGCCUGAGGAACCCCGGGGCCCUCACAGGAGGGAGCCAGGGGCAUCACACUCAGAGAGAGGAACUGGAAGAUGCUCCAAUGAUGGAUUUGGAGAAAGAGGAAGGGGCCAGGAGCCAAGGAAUUCGGGUGGCCUGGAAGCUGGGAGCACAAGGACCAGGGCUUCCCAGAGCCUCUAGAAGGAACCAGCCCUGUCGACAUCCGGAUUUUGGCCCAGUGAGAGCCAUGUCUGACUUCUGACCUGCAGAAGCAGGAGAGAAGCAGCUGCGAGGUUUCAGCCUCUAAGCUUGUGGUGAUUUGUCAGGGCAGCCAUGGGACACUCACACAACGCCCUGGACACCCCGCUGCUGUACGAGUCCUGGCCGUGCCUGACCUCCUCCCUUCCCUACCCCCAGGUUGAUGCAAGGCGGCCCCCACCCACACCCAGACCCCAGGCGUGAAGGAGGUCUUGGCCGCCCCAGCCUCUCCGGUCUCGCAGCCUCUGGGCUCUGGGCCCUGCCUCUGGCCCUGCUCGCUUUCUGCCCUGGGCCAUUGUUAGUGCCUUAUCAGCCCAGCACAUCUCGCCUGCAUCUAAUUGGAAUUUCCUCAGAGGCAGGAAACCUGGCUCAGGCGUCAUCAGGGCUCAGAUGGUGGACCUGUGGCCUUCCUACUGGGUAAACUGGGUAAACUGAGGAACUGACUUUUACUGAGUCGCACACCUGCCCACUCUUGGCUAACCUCCUGGGGCUGCUUGAUGCUGUUUCCCGUGGCCCAGGAAGCCCUCAAAGUCAGCCCAUCUUCCCUCCCGCUGUGUCCUCCUGCAGGGCCUCUGCCCAGGCAGCUCUCUCUGCCCGUAAGCUCAGCCCCUCUGGGUGCAGAGCUGCUCCGUCUUGCUCAGGGCUCAGCGCGGCAGGAGUGAGAAGCCACCUCUUCGAGAGCUGCCCCGCACGGCACUCCCUUGCUGGAAAUCACUUCAUUUAUUGCUUGGCCUUUUUUUUUUCCCCUGAAUCUUCUGAGGGGAUCAUGGUGCCUACACCACUCCCAGGACCUGUUUCGAGGCACGGGGUCCACGUGUCUCUCACAGAUGGGCCACGGCAGCUGUUGCACAAAGGUGUUCCUGGCUCCAGCUGACCUCAGGCGAGUCAAGUCUCCUCCUGGGCUGGGGGUUGCACCUGGAACAUGGCAAUACAAAGGCAGGUCUGGUAAGGACAUAAGACGCCUGAUGGCACACACAGUAUGUGCUCAGCUAACAGCAGCUCUUUCCCUUGACCCUCCAAUGAUCGUCAAGGUGCCCCCUUGAUCCACAGGCCAGGGAGGUUAUUGAUUGAUAAAAUGUUUCCCCUGGCAUGGAAUGCACAGCCCAUGAUGCCCUGUCCUCCUUCAGGCAGAGCUGAGGGCACAGGAGACCCACAGCUGUGCGGACUCCCCGCUGGUGGGGAUGGCCACAUUCCAGGUGGGACAACAGAGCUCUGCUCAGGGUCAUACAGCUGACAUGUCACAGAUUCAGACUUCCAACCUGCUCUGUGUGGCUUUGCCGUGGCCCGAAGAAGAAGAGCAGGACUCAGAGGCAUCUCACAGGUGGACAAAGACCCCAAUCUGCAUGCAGCGGUUAAAGCUCCCUGUACACCUCCUGCUGUGGACAGAGACCCCCGAAUCUGCGUGCAGCGGUUAAAGGUCCCUGUACCCCUCCUGCUGUGGACAGAGACCCCCGAAUCUGCGUGCAGCGGUUAAAGGUCCCUGUAUGCCUCCUGCUGUAACCAGAACCCCACGAACAGCUCGUGUCAAGGUUCCCAGGCCGGCCAGGCAGGGCUGGGCAGAGUGAGGUGCUCCAGCUCACGGACAGGGGGACUAAAAAGGCUUGGGGGCUCAGAGAACGUUCAUUCCAGUUCCCCAGGGACAGGAAUCCGCCCCAGCCCAGGUUCCUGCCCCAGCGAGGCCUUCUCAUCGGCGUGAUCGGGGUCUGGUUUGCAGCCAGGCCACACAAAGCCACACAGAGCAGCCUCGGAAGUUUGGUGACAGAAAACGACGUGACCUUGGCGGGGUUUGGAGGCUGCAGCUUUUGGCGGGGCAGGUCAGGGCCCCGGGGUGUUGUGGCCACAGAGCCACGCAGGGGAGGCGCUAGGUUGUGGGUUAGGGGACGGGGAGGCCCCUUCAUCCCUGGCCAGGUUGGGCAGCAGUGACGCCUUCUUUCCUCCCCCACUGCCCCCCUACAACCCCGACACUCUUCACGGAACCCCUGUGUCUGCUAGGCACUGGGUAGGCACUAUUUGUAUAAAUAAAACUCCUUUUGGGCCUGUGUGGAUCCCCU
rnacentral:lncRNA from 1 species